rnacentral:rRNA from 1 species
GAUGAACGCUGGCGGCGUGCCUAAUACAUGCAAGUCGAGCGAACAGACGAGGAGCUUGCUCCUCUGACGUUAGCGGCGGACGGGUGAGUAACACGUGGAUAACCUACCUAUAAGACUGGGAUAAAUUCGGGAAACCGGAGCUAAUACCGGAUAAUAUAUUGAACCGCAUGGUUCAAUAGUGAAAGAAGGGUUUGCUGUCACUUAUAGAUGGAUCCGCGCCGCAUUAGCUAGUUGGUAAGGUAACGGCUUACCAAGGCAACGAUGCGUAGCCGACCUGAGAGGGUGAUCGGCCACACUGGAACUGAGACACGGUCCAGACUCCUACGGGAGGCAGCAGUAGGGAAUCUUCCGCAAUGGGCGAAAGCCUGACGGAGCAACGCCGCGUGAGUGAUGAAGGUCUUCGGAUCGUAAAACUCUGUUAUUAGGGAAGAACAAAUGUGUAAGUAACUAUGCACGUCUUGACGGUACCUAAUCAGAAAGCCACGGCUAACUACGUG